GCAUUGAAGCACUGUGCCUCGUCGACGUGUGUAUCGUCAGUGACGAAAAAAUACAUGGUCAGCCACCAAUCGCUAGAUGUACAUCUGGUGAACGGGGGCUCAAGGAUGCAACAAUUUGAAAACAAUCGAAAACAUAGUGCUGCGUUGGCCGCUGAGCGCCUGCGAGGCUGCAUGAUGCAACCCGCUUGGGCCUGCGCAGCAGCGGGUAAUUCAAGAAAAAAUAAAGGAAACUACAUUCCUGUUCAGCCUACCUUAAUUAGCAGAAGGAAAAAAGAGAUUGGCGGGCUGCAGAAGUAAUCCUGGAGGAAGACAAAGAACAACAUUCAUUGUUCUGCAGAUCCAAACAAGAAGGAGAACAAUGAGGGAUGUGGAACGAGCCGUGACGUACGUUAACUUGGGACAAAUAUAUCAUUGAAAAUUUCUGUGUACUCUAUUCAGCA